rnacentral:rRNA from 1 species
CUUGAACGCUGGCGGCAUGCCUUACACAUGCAAGCCGAACGACAGCACGGGUGCUUGCACCUGGUGGCGAGAGGCGAACGGGUGAGUAAUACAUCGGAAUGUACCUUGUAGUGGGGGAUAGCUCGGCGAAAGCCGGAUUAAUACCGCAUACGCUCUGAGGAGGAAAGCGGGGGACCUUCGGGCCUCGUGCUACAAGAGCAGCCGAUGUCAGAUUAGCUUGUUGGUGAGGUAAAAGCUCACCAAGGCGACGAUCUGUAGCUGGUCUGAGAGGACGACCAGCCACACUGGGACUGAGACACGGCCCAGACUCCUACGGGAGGCAGCAGUGGGGAAUUUUGGACAAUGGGCGAAAGCCUGAUCCAGCAAUGCCGCGUGUGUGAAGAA